rnacentral:rRNA from 1 species
GAUGAACGCUGGCGGCGUGCCUAAUACAUGCAAGUCGAGCGAACAGAUGAGGAUCUUGCUCCUCUGACGUUAGCGGCGGACGGGUGAGUAACACGUGGAUAACCUACCUAUAAGACUGAGAUAACUUCGGGAAACCGGAGCUAAUACCGGAUAAUAUAUUGAACCGCAUGGUUCAAUAGAGACAGACGGGUUUGCUGUCACUUAUAGAUGGAUUCGCGCCGCAUUAGCUAGUUGGUAAGGUAACGGCUUACCAAGGCAACGAUGCGUAGCCGACCUGAGAGGGUGAUCGGCCACACUGGAACUGAGACACGGUCCAGACUCCUACGGGAGGCAGCAGUAGGGAAUCUUCCGCAAUGGGCGAAAGCCUGACGGAGCAAGGCCGCGUGAGUGAUGAAGGUCUUCGGAUCGUAAAGCUCUGUUAUUAGGGAAGAACAAAUGUGUAAGUAACUAUGCACGUCUUGACGGUACCUAAUCAGAAAGCAACGGCUAACUACGUG